UACGGGGGGGGCAAGCGUUGUUCGGAAUUACUGGGCGUAAAGGGCGCGUAGGCGGCCCUCUAAGUCAGACGUGAAAUCCCACGGCUCAACCGUGGAACUGCGUCUGAUACUGGAGGGCUUGAAUCCGGGAGAGGGAUGUGGAAUUCCAGGUGUAGCGGUGAAAUGCGUAGAUAUCUGGAGGAACACCGGUGGCGAAGGCGGCAUCCUGUACCGGUAUUGACGCUGAGGCGCGAAAGCUAGGGGAGCAAACGGG
rnacentral:rRNA from 1 species